rnacentral:rRNA from 1 species
CCUACACAUGCAGUCGAGCGGAUGACGGGAGCUUGCUCCCUGAUUCAGCGGCGGACGGGUGAGUAAUGCCUAGGAAUCUGCCUGGUAGUGGGGGACAACGUUUCGAAAGGAACGCUAAUACCGCAUACGUCCUACGGGAGAAAGCAGGGGACCUUCGGGCCUUGCGCUAUCAGAUGAGCCUAGGUCGGAUUAGCUAGUUGGUGAGGUAAUGGCUCACCAAGGCGACGAUCCGUAACUGGUCUGAGAGGAU